UAAACGCUGGCGGCGUGCCUAAUACAUGCAAGUCGAGCGAACAGACGAGGAGCUUGCUCCUCUGACGUUAGCGGCGGACGGGUGAGUAACACGUGGAUAACCUACCUAUAAGACUGGGAUAACUUCGGGAAACCGGAGCUAAUACCGGAUAAUAUAUUGAACCGCAUGGUUCAAUAGUGAAAGACGGUUUUGCUGUCACUUAUAGAUGGAUCCGCGCCGCAUUAGCUAGUUGGUAAGGUAACGGCUUACCAAGGCGACGAUGCGUAGCCGACCUGAGAGGGUGAUCGGCCACACUGGAACUGAGACACGGUCCAGACUCCUACGGGAGGCAGCAGUAGGGAAUCUUCCGCAAUGGGCGAAAGCCUGACGGAGCAACGCCGCGUGAGUGAUGAAGGUCUUCGGAUCGUAAAACUCUGUUAUUAGGGAAGAACAAAUGUGUAAGUAACUAUGCACGUCUUGACGGUACCUAAUCAGAAAGCCACGGCUAACUACGUG
rnacentral:rRNA from 1 species